rnacentral:lncRNA from 1 species
AAAUCACACAAAAACACCCCAAACCCACCCAAAAUCCACCCAAAACCCUCCCCAAAGCCCCCUCUCCAAAGCCCCCUCCCCAAAGCCCAGCCGGCCACUGGGGAGGGAGCACUGGAGGGGAUGGAGCCCCCAGACCCAUGAAUGGAGGGAGCAUGAAGCCCCCAGACUCAUAUGGGGUUGGGAUGUGGAUCCCAGAUCCAUAGAGAGGGAAUGAAGCCCCCAGACCCAUAAAGGGAGGAGGAGAUGAAGCCCCCAGACCCAUAUGGGGGGAGGAUGUGAAUCCCAGACCCAUGGGGAGUAAAUGAAGCCCCCAGACCCAUGGAUGGAGGGGGAGGGGAUGAAGCCCCCAGACCCAUGGAUGGAGGGGGAGAGGAUGAAGCCCCCAGACCCAUGAAGGGAUGGGAAGAUGAAGCCCCCAGACCCAUGGAUGGAGGGGAGAUGAAGCCCCCAACCCCUUGGAUGGAGGGGGGAGAUGAAGCCCCCAGACCCAUGGAUGGAGGGGGGGGAUGAAGCCCCCAGACCCAUGGAUGGAGGGGGGGGGAUGAAGCCCCCAACCCCUUGGAUGGAGGGGGGAGAUGAAGCCCCCAGACCCAUGGGGAGCAAACGAAGCCCCCAGACCCAUGGAUGGAGGGGAUGAAGCCCCCAGACCCCUGUGUUUGUGCUGGAGUGCUUGGGGAGCCCCCAGGGGGUCCCAGGAGUAUCUCAGUGGAAUAGGACAGCUUAGACACCCCCUCCCCAAAUCCCUGGGAGGAGCGUGGCGGGGUGGGGGGACCGCUCCGAGCCCCCUCCCCAAAUUGCCUUCAGGAGAUCGGGGACGUGGAGAACUGGGCCCGCAGCAUCGAGCUGGACAUGAGGACCAUCGCCACCGCCCUCGAGUACGUCUACAAGGGCCAGCUGCAGCCUUCCUGCUCCUGAGAGACCCCCAGAG